GUCUUCUUGUUAUAUUUAGGAAGUCUGGCCUGCCCAGUGAAAUAAUUUAACGGCCGCGGUAUAUUGACCGUGCAAAGGUAGCAUAAUCAUUAGUCUUUUAAUAGAGGGCUGGUAUGAAGGGUUUAACGAGGUGUUGACUGUCUCAUUUAAUUUGAAUAUUAGAAUUUAAUUUUUUAGUUAAAAAGCUAAAAUAUUGUUGGAAGACGAGAAGACCCUAUAGAGCUUUAUAUUUUUAUUAUUAAUUUAUCAUAGAUUAUUAUUAUUUAUUACUAAUAGAAAGUAUUUUGUUGGGGUGACAAAAAUAUAUAAAUAACUUUUUUAUUUUAUUUACAUUGAUAUAUGAAUGUUAGAUCCAGUCUUAUUGAUUGUUAGAUUAAGUUACCUUAGGGAUAACAGCGUAAUCCCUCUCCAGAGUUCAUAUUUACAGAGGGGCUUGCGACCUCGAUGUUGGAUUAAGAUAAUAAUUAGGUGCAGCCGCUUAAUUAAUAGGUCUGUUCGACCUUUAAAUUCUU
rnacentral:rRNA from 1 species